UCUCGCCUAUCUCCAUUGAAAGUUUAGCACCACAUCUUGUUACACAAUUGACUAGUAAGUUCUCUUCCUUUUCUUAAUUAAUGUCUUUAGUUACGGUAAUAUUAAAGACCUUUAAAUCCAUAAACUAAUCAUACCUGAAACAUACUCCUAAGUAAGGAUGAAUUCCUGGUCACUAGCUCCAUUCAUUCCAUAAUUUCAAAGGAACUAAUGAUCCUCAUUGUUAUUAACUUAUUAUUCUGUGAGUUGCUUGGUGGUUUUUUNN
rnacentral:lncRNA from 1 species